GGUUAACACAUCGAAGGCACGGAAGGGACAUGCCACAGCACGAGAAAAGAAAACGGAUCCAACGUAUGAGUACGUUGGAAAGCUAGUCCAGGAGGCGAUGGCCAGCAACGAGCAGUGCACGUCCCUCGAUGAGGCAGCAAUAGCCAAGAAGCGCAUCUUUCCGGCACCCAUGAAUGCCGCCUUUACAAGGCCUUCCAAAAGGGAACUCGUGGAGGCAAAGAGGUCCCGGUUCGGCCAGGUUACCCCGUGAGGGACCUCCUCAAAUCCCUUCUGUCACCCGUGCACUCGAUGGACACCUGCCUCGGCCAAGCGAACACGCACGGAAGGGGGGAUCUUGCAGACCCGCUCCUUAUCCUGUUACGAGAGCCCGACCUGCAGUAAUGAGAACGAUCAUCGACCAGCCGAUAAAGCAACACGAAGGCUCAAGUUCUGGGAGCUGCCAUGUAGUCAGAUGUGCCAAACCUGCCAGGGGAACUUUGAUACCGUGA